rnacentral:piRNA from 1 species
UAGGAAGUGUACAGCUGGACCUAAGGC